rnacentral:misc_RNA from 1 species
GAAAUGCGAUAAGUAAUGUGAAUUGCAGAAUUCAGUGAAUCAUCGAAUCUUUGAACGCACAUUGCGCCCCCUGGUAUUCCGGGGGGCAUGCCUGUUCGAGCGUCAUUUCACCACUCAAGCCUCGCUUGGUAUUGGGCGACGCGGUCCGCCGCGCGCCUCAAAUCGACCGGCUGGGUCUUUCGCCCCCUCAGCGUUGUGGAAACUAUUCGCUAAAGGGUGCCGCGGGAGGCCACGCCGUAAAACAACCCCAUUUCUAAGGUUGACCUCGGAUCAGGUAGAGAUACCCGCUGAACUUAAGC